rnacentral:rRNA from 1 species
CAGUCGCCGCGGUAAUACGUAGGUGGCAAGCGUUGUCCGGAAUUAUUGGGCGUAAAGGGCUCGCAGGCGGUUUCUUAAGUCUGAUGUGAAAGCCCCCGGCUCAACCGGGGAGGGUCAUUGGAAACUGGGAAACUUGAGUGCAGAAGAGGAGAGUGGGAUUCCACGUGUAGCGGUGAAAUGCGUAGAGAUGUGGAGGAACACCAGUGGCGAAGGCGACUCUCUGGUCUGUAACUGACGCUGAGGAGCGAAAGCGUGGGGAGCGAACAGGAUUAGAUACCCCAGUAGUCCCUGUCUCUUAUAC